rnacentral:rRNA from 1 species
CCAGGCGUCGAGUGGCGGACGGGUGAGUAACGCGUAGGAAUCUGCCAGAUAGUGGGGGAUAGCCCGGAGAAAUCCGGACUAAUACCGCAUAAUCUCCAUGGAGUAAAGAGGGCCUCUAUUUAUAAGCUUUCGCUAUCUGAUGAGCCUGCGUAAGAUUAGCUAGUUGGUGGGGUAAUGGCCUACCAAGGCGACGAUCUUUAGCUGGUCUGAGAGGAUGAUCAGCCACACUGGGACUGAGACACGGCCCAGACUCCUACGGGAGGCAGCAGUGGGGAAUAUUGGACAAUGGGGGCAACCCUGAUCCAGCAAUACCGCGUGUGUGAAGAAGGCCUGAGGGUUGUAAAGCACUUUCAAUUGUGAAGAAAAGUUAAUAGUUAAUACCUAUUAGCCUUGACGUUAACUUUAGAAGAAGCACCGGCUAACU